rnacentral:rRNA from 1 species
GACGAACGCUGGCGGCGUGCCUAAUACAUGCAAGUCGAACGAACUCUGGUAUUGAUUGGUGCUUGCAUCAUGAUUUACAUUUGAGUGAGUGGCGAACUGGUGAGUAACACGUGGGAAACCUGCCCAGAAGCGGGGGAUAACACCUGGAAACAGAUGCUAAUACCGCAUAACAACUUGGACCGCAUGGUCCGAGUUUGAAAGAUGGCUUCGGCUAUCACUUUUGGAUGGUCCCGCGGCGUAUUAGCUAGAUGGUGAGGUAACGGCUCACCAUGGCAAUGAUACGUAGCCGACCUGAGAGGGUAAUCGGCCACAUUGGGACUGAGACACGGCCCAAACUCCUACGGGAGGCAGCAGUAGGGAAUCUUUCACAAUGGACGAAAGUCUGAUGGAGCAACGCCGCGUGAGUGAAGAAGGGUUUCGGCUCGUAAAACUCUGUUGUUAAAGAAGAACAUAUCUGAGAGUAACUGUUCAGGUAUUGACGGUAUUUAACCAGAAAGCCACGGCUAACUACGUGCCAGCAGCCGCGGUAAUACGUAGGUGGCAAGCGUUGUCCGGAUUUAUUGGGCGUAAAGCGAGCGCAGGCGGUUUUUUAAGUCUGAUGUGAAAGCCUUCGGCUCAACCGAAGAAGUGCAUCGGAAACUGGGAAACUUGAGUGCAGAAGAGGACAGUGGAACUCCAUGUGUAGCGGUGAAAUGCGUAGAUAUAUGGAAGAACACCAGUGGCGAAAGGCGGCUGUCUGGUCUGUAACUGACGCUGAGGCUCGAAAGUAUGGGUAGCAAACAGGAUUAGAUACCCUGGUAGUCCAUACCGUAAACGAUGAAUGCUAAGUGUUGGAGGGUUUCCGCCCUUCAGUGCUGCAGCUAACGCAUUAAGCAUUCCGCCUGGGGAGUACGGCCGCAAGGCUGAAACUCAAAGGAAUUGACGGGGGCCCGCACAAGCGGUGGAGCAUGUGGUUUAAUUCGAAGCUACGCGAAGAACCUUACCAGGUCUUGACAUACUAUGCAAAUCUAAGAGAUUAGACGUUCCCUUCGGGGACAUGGAUACAGGUGGUGCAUGGUUGUCGUCAGCUCGUGUCGUGAGAUGUUGGGUUAAGUCCCGCAACGAGCGCAACCCUUAUUAUCAGUUGCCAGCAUUAAGUUGGGCACUCUGGUGAGACUGCCGGUGACAAACCGGAGGAAGGUGGGGAUGACGUCAAAUCAUCAUGCCCCUUAUGACCUGGGCUACACACGUGCUACAAUGGAUGGUACAACGAGUUGCGAACUCGCGAGAGUAAGCUAAUCUCUUAAAGCCAUUCUCAGUUCGGAUUGUAGGCUGCAACUCGCCUACAUGAAGUCGGAAUCGCUAGUAAUCGCGGAUCAGCAUGCCGCGGUGAAUACGUUCCCGGGCCUUGUACACACCGCCCGUCACACCAUGAGAGUUUGUAACACCCAAAGUCGGUGGGGUAACCUUUUAGGAACCAGCCGCCUAAGGUGGGACAGAUGAUUAGGGUG